CACCAAGUGUCAAUUCAAAGGUGUGGAAAGGAAACAAGACUGACAGUUUGUGGGGGAAGGGGCCAACUGGGAGUGGCAGUUGGGUCUUGUGACUGGCACUUCCUUCCUGCGGGGAGCGGGGGAUGGGCUGCCUGGUGUUGGGGGAGAGAGGACCUUGUUCAGCCUGUCUGAAGUGGCAUGCUUUUCUUGAUUCAGCCGGAAGAUUCAGGCUCAGUCGCUUCUGAAGGAUGAGAAGUAGAACCUACAAUCACUGCCCCUCCUCACCCCAGGAAGUACUAUGCCAAUUUAAAGACCAUAAUUGGUCCCACUAAAAUGGAACAAGGGACAGAAAGUGAUGUAAAAAAAGGACUAUAAAAGAUGAUGAACUCCCUGUGAAAGAGGGCUUCAUUCUGAAUUUUUGGGUUGGAGGAUAUUCUUCUGUGGGACUUUGCCUUGGGCCUUGGGCCUUGGACCUGGGACUCUGGCUUUUAGACUGCUUCUUGUAAGACUGCUCCUGGAUCUUCUCCUUUGGAUCUUCUCCUGGAAGCAAGGAAGAAAAACCUACAAAUUCAAUCUGCUUAAGUAUUUUUCAGAUCUGAUCAUUCAAAAUCUGAAAGCACUAAAGAAAAAGAAAAAGGAAGGAUGAAACAAAGAAAUAAAGAA
rnacentral:lncRNA from 1 species